AUACGUAGGUAGCAAGCGUUGUCCGGAUUUAUUGGGCGUAAAGCGAGCGCAGGCGGUUUUUUAAGUCUGAUGUGAAAGCCUUCGGCUUAACCGGAGAAGUGCAUCGGAAACUGGGAGACUUGAGUGCAGAAGAGGACAGUGGAACUCCAUGUGUAGCGGUGGGAUGCGUAGAUAUAUGGAAGAACACCAGUGGCGAAGGCGGCUGUCUAGUCUGUAACUGACGCUGAGGCUCGAAAGCAUGGGUAGCAAACAGGAUUAGAUACCCUGGUAGUCCAUGCCGUAAACGAUGAGUGCUAGGUGUUGGAGGGUUUCCGCCCUUCAGUGCCGCAGCUAACGCAUUAAGCACUCCGCCUGGGGAGUACGACCGCAAGGUUGAA
rnacentral:rRNA from 1 species